CCGCGCCGAGCUGUUUCCCGGGGGCGGAUUUCUCGCUUCUUCCUCCCUGGAUCCACCUCCUCCCACUCCACCUCCUUCCCCUCCCCUCCCCAGGGGAGGCUCUGGGGCUGAAUAUUUUCUGUCUUGAAUAAUACGGUCCCGGGGACCGACGCUGGAGAAGGGGGAUUAGCUAGGAGGUGGGGGGGAGGGGGGGCGGGGAGGGGUGCUCGCCAACCCCCUCACGAUGUGUCUGGGGACCUCCAAGCCCUGACCCCUCCCCUGCACCCCCUCAAAACCAGGCACACACAAAACCUUCUCCGCGCGCCCGAGCGCCGAGCGGGAGCGGCCGGCAACCCGGGCUGUGCUGGGAAGAGACUCGGGGCUCAGCAUCAGGGCCAGAGAGGGGGACUAUCACAUGGCUGGAUAUGCGGAAUUGAGGGAUCACAGGUCCCAGCCUGCGGGGGACACGUCUGGCUGAACGAACUCGGCGCUGGUAGCCGAAUAGAGGAAAGGUGGCCGCGCUGCUCCACCCUGCGGGUCCCGGAGGCUGCGGGUCCUGGAAGCUGAGGGCCCGGAGCAGAACCGCCGCCCCUCCCCACCCAGUGCUGCGGCCCGGCCACCGACCCGGGCGGCUCGCUCCGCCCCGCCGCGCCUCACAACAUCUCCCGCUGCAAAUGGCCCAAUCAGAAGACGCGACGAGAGAAGACGAGCCAAUCAGAGGCUGCUGACUCAGUCUUUCCCCCCCACCCUUUGCCCCACCCCCUGUAGGAUGGGCCACCGCCCCUCGGGCUCCCCUUCCCACCUCGCCCUCCCUCCCGGGAGGAGGCUCCCCGGCUCCCAUCCCCGCCCGCCUGAAGUGCAGUAGCCCGCCGAGACGGCGGCGUUUGUCGCCUUGUCACCCUCAUCCUCGCCCCCUCCCACACACACCCCUCCUCCCUUUCCCGGUCCUCCUGCUGCUGCUGUUGAGGGUCAUUUUUAUCCUCACUCCGGCGGGGGGACUGCCAGCUAUUGUGUCUGAUCAGCUGCCACCACCAUCCUGAGGGAAAAAAGGAACAAAACCAAGAAGCUCUAGGAUCUGCUUACCUUCGCCUUCUUUCUUACCACUCUAUCCCUUGAAAAUUUAGAGACGCCUCCCCUUCCCCGUUCCCCUCCCGCUGCCUCGGGUCCUGUAUUUUGCUGAGAAAAAACCAAAAAUCGUUCCCUGGAGCCUGAAUACCUGUGCCUUAGUUUUUAGAUCUUCUAAAAGUGGAAGGUGCCAGACAUUUAGAAUGUACAACUAAAUCCUCGGCCUCAAUUAGAGGAAAGACUUGGAAAGAUCAUUUUUAUAUGGCCAUGAAAUUUGCAUGUUCGUGACAGCCCCUGACAAAACUAGUCAGCUAAUAACAAAGAAAAAAAAAAGAAUAAAGUAGAGAGACUGCCUGCCA
rnacentral:lncRNA from 1 species